CGUCUAUAUACGUAUAGCAUAUCAAUAAGCGGAGGAAAAGAAACUAACUAGGAUUCCCUCAGUAACGGCGAGUGAAGCGGGAAGAGCUCAAAUUUGAAAUCUUCAAGGUUUUACCUUGACGAAUUGUAGUUUAAAGAAGUGUUUUCUGUUGGAGUUUUCGGUAAAAGUUCUUUGGAAUAGGACAUCAUAGAGGGUGAGAAUCCCGUAUUUGACCAUUAUUUCCAGCUGUGUGAUACACUUUCAAAGAGUCGGAUUGUUUGGGAAUGCAGUCCAAAAUGGGUGGUAAAUUUCAUCUAAAGCUAAAUACUGGCGAGAGACCGAUAGCGAACAAGUACCGUGAGGGAAAGAUGAAAAGAACUUUGAAAAGAGAGUUAAACAGUACGUGAAAUUGUCAAAAGGGAAGCGUUUGACACCAGUGUUGUUUUCUCGAAAAUCAAUUAAAAAUGGCAGUGAUUUUGUGUUGUAUUGACCUUAUAAGCUUUCUGCACUUUUUUCAUGUCUUUUUUAAUGCACUUUUCGUUUAACAAGUCAACAUCAAUUUCUUUUGUUGUAAAAAGGGUCAUUGGAAGGUGGCUUUCUUUUCGGAGAAAGUGUUUAUAGCCUUUGACUUCUGCAAUCGGAGAGAUUGAGGUCUGCAGCGUAGAUCCUUCGGGGUUAGAUACAUUUGUGCUAAGCUAUAGCCUUUCAUAGACAACUUGUUGACUAUGAUCAGUCAUGUAGCUUACUCGCUUAUGCUAUUUUACCUACGCUUAGGAUGUUGACGAUCAGCUGAGCGCG
rnacentral:rRNA from 1 species